GAUGAAGAACGUAGCGAAAUGCGAUAAGUAAUGUGAAUUGCAGAACUCAGUGAAUCAUCGAAUCUUUGAACGCACAUUGCGCCCUGUGGUAUUCCGCAGGGCAUGCCUGUUCGAGCGUCAUUUCAACCCUCAAGCUCUGCUUGGUGUUGGGCCCUGCCCGCUGCGGCCGGCCCUAAAGACAGUGGCGGUGCCGCCUGGCCCUGAGCGUAGUACAUCUCUCGCUCCAGUGCCCGGUGGUAGCCUGCCAGAACCCCAACUCUCGUGGUUGACCUCGGAUCAGGUAGGGAUACCCGCUGAACUUAAGCAUAUCAAUAAGCGGAGGA
rnacentral:misc_RNA from 1 species